UAUAUACUCGCCGAGUUUACAUAGAACACCAAACGACCAAAACUUACAGUAAGACGAAAAAGAAAACAGAUGGCGCCCAAAGCAUUCCCAGCUCUGCUUCUUCUCGUGUGUUUUUGUGGCGAGCUUGUGAUUCACGGCCAUGCUGAGGCGCCGUACGCCGGCGGCAGCAUCAUGGGAGGACAUCCUGCUGGGAUGCAGCCAUCUCCUUACACUACCCAUCGCCACUCCACAAUCGGAGGGGAUCAUGGAGGAAGGCGUUUGAGCGGGGAAGAAGAAGAAGAGAAGGCCUUCAUGAUCCACAGCCUGCCGGCGGCGCACGACCGGCCGCUUCCUGUCCCGCCUUCCGCCAGCUAGUCCCAGCUGGGAGGGAAUGCAGCCAUGGAAGCUGGCCAAACCCCAAGACAGAAUAUAUUAUGGAAACCACGCACAUCCAUCUAGCUUGAGUACCGAAUGGGCCUUCUUUGUAUGGGGAACUUGUUCGUAUAUAUCAGUGGUAUAAUGGUGGAGGACUGGUCUGAUUAAACGAUGUACUACUAGUGUGUACUGAGAGGUUGAAUCUUCAGUGUUAUCAAGGAACAUGAAUUUAUCCCAACAUUGUAAGGUUUACAUUUUAGCAAGUAAAUAAGACUUUAUCUUGCUCGCA